GGGGGGAUAGCUCAGUGGUAGAGUAUAAGCCUGAAAAGCUUGCCGUGGUGGUUCGAUUCCACCUCUCCCC
rnacentral:tRNA from 1 species